rnacentral:rRNA from 1 species
UUAUAUUUGUUUACUUUGAUUUUAGUUGAUUAGUUUUUUUUAGAAAUAACUUUAUUUUUAGUAAUUUUUAUUGAAUUAAUUGUUUUGUGGUAGUAUGGGUACCGUAAGGGGGCAUGAUUAAUUAAAUUUUAAGAAGUCUUUGUUUGGUGUACCUUUUGUAUCAGGGGUGAUUAAAUAUUUUUAUUUAUUUAUUUUUCUCGAAAUUAGGGGAGAUAUUGUUAUAUUUUAUUUAAUGUUUCAUAAUUAUUAAUUAUAUAAUGAUUGUAAUGAUAAGUUAUUCGUUCUUGAAUAUCUAGUUCUCUGGGAAUUGAAUUUAAUUCAUUAUUACUAACUUUCAUUUUCUGAUUUUAAUUGGGUUAUGUUUAGUAAUUAAAUAUUUUUGGGGAUAAGCUCGGAUUUAUUUUUAUAAUUUUUAGAUUUUGUAAGUUUGAGUGGGCUUAAAGUCAGCCAUCAUUAAUUUCGUUAUUGAUUAUUCUAAGUUUAUUAUUAUUUUGUGUUAUUUAAUUUUAUAGCAGGGUUAAUUUUUUAAUUAAGUUUUAUUUGGAAUGAUGAUUAUAUUAGUAUAUUUGGUAAUCGUGUUAUAGGAACUCGGCAAAUAUUGCGUUCGCCUGUUUAACAAAAACAUGUCCUUUUGGUGUUAUUAUUUUAGGUUUAACCUGCCCAAUGAUUUAUUUAAUGGCCGCGGUAUUUUAACUGUGCUAAGGUAGCAUAAUCAUUUGUCUUUUAAUUAAGGGCUUGUAUGAAGGGUUGGACGAGAUGCAUUCUUUCUUUAUUCACGUUAUUUGAAUUUUUCUUUUUAGUUAAAAGGCUAAGAUUUUUUUGUAGGACGAGAAGACCCUGUAGAUCUUUAUAUUUAUUAAUUUUCUGAUUAUUUGGGAAAUAAUAAAUUGGAUUUUUUUAUUUAUUUGAUUGGGGUGAUUGCAGAGAAUUAGAAACUUCUGUUUUAUAAAAUUCAUGAAUUAGUGUUUAUAUGAUCCAUUAUUAAUGAUUAUAAGAUUAAGUUACCUCAGGGAUAACAGCGUUAUUUCUUCGGAGAGUUCAUAUCGAUGAAGGAGUUUGCGACCUCGAUGUUGGAUUAAAAUAAGUGUUGGGUGUAGUGGUUCAAUUACUAGGUCUGUUCGACCUUUGAUUUUUUACAUGAUCUGAGUUCAGACCGGCGUGAGCCAGGUCAGUUUCUAUCCUCAAUUUUAAUUUUUAUAUUUUAGUACGAAAGGACCAAAUUUAAGGAAUAAUUUUUUGUAGAUGAUUAUUAUU